GAAUGAAAAGAAUGGGCAGCCUGGUGGCUACUCAGAUGAGCACAUGAACACAGGUCAAGAAGCAUCUCUGCUAUAAACUCUGUGUGUGCAUGAAGGCUAAUAGUUCAAGUCCAAGGGAAACUGUUUUCCAUAUUGUUUGGAGUUUCAACAUUCAUUUCUUCCCAAUUGCACAAAUGCAUCAAGCCCAGAGAAACUUGGCUUUUAGAUCUACAUGGUUGCUUGCAGAAUUGUGUGGCUCACAAGUCCAGCAUUUUUCUUGCUUAUCCAGGCACUAAGAAUGCAAAUAUUAACCCAGUUUCUUCCAUUGAAAAAACACUUUCCCCUUUUCUCUGAGAAUUGGGAUUUAAGCACAUUAACAGCAAUUAGUACUAGAGCCAAGAAUUCAGAUUUUGAAUAAAACUACAGUUGACAUUUGCUCCUGGAUGAGAGAGUGAAAAAUGGUCCAUAAAGUUUCUAUUAACUUCAAAAGCAGCAACAUCUGCUCCAAUCCACAAAGCUUCAGGGUCUACCAUAGAGGAAGAGAGUGCUGUCCGCAAGCUGAGAACUCAGCCAGCUGUCCAGGCCUCAGUCCUCACAGCCCAUCCUCAACGCAAUGAAGGAGAGCGUCACUUCCAGCAAACUCGGAGCAGUCCUAUAAAGCAAGACGUGAGCCCAGUAUUGAGUGUGGACUGCUGAG
ensembl:lncRNA